CUCUCUAAAUUAUCUAACCUUUCCUCUUACCCAAUACCAAAAACUGUCUAAAUUAUCUAAUCUUUCCUCUUCCCCAAUUUAUUACUCAAUUAAAUCUUAAGUUAAUACUCUAUAUAAUUAUAUAUAUUGAAUGAAGAUGAAAGCACUUCCUGAAUAUACCGUUUCAUUUUCCUUUUUUGUGCACUUAAUAUAAUUUAUAUAAAUGCAAUUAUCAUAUAAGGACAUUUAGGUGAAUACUUUUUCUUCCAUAUUAUUCUCAUUUGUAAAUCAUAAGGUGUACACCAAAAAAUUGAUAAUAAUCCACUAGCUAUCAUAAGAAAGGCUAACCAUUCAUUGGUUUGAGCUUGUAUUUUUUCUCUUC